CCCAAUAGAACAGUGGAUCAUCCUUGCCAAGGUUAGAAGGAGACUACGGUUGCAGUCUUCUCUAUUUAUCACUCACAUCGAGAACAUUCUUUGUUGCCUAAAGGGUUAGUAGUAAUAGACCGGUUAGUCAGAUGCACUCUUUCUCCUAGCGGUAAAAAAAUAAAUACAGUACUCUGGAUAAUUUCCCGGGUGAAGUGCUCACCGAUAUCCGUGCGCUUGCGGAUCAAUUCCUUAUUGCGUU
rnacentral:lncRNA from 1 species